rnacentral:rRNA from 1 species
GUCAAACCGGUGACUGCGUGGCGUUGCGGGCUCGGUCCGUCGGUGCUCCCACUAAAAGCAUCGGCGUGUCAACCGGCCCGUUCGUCCCCUCCUUCUGGAUUCCCGUUCCUGCUAUUGAGUUAGUGGGGACGUCACAGGGAGCUCAUCGUCGUCAGCAAUGACGGCGCGGUGAGUUCCUGGGGCCCAGAUCGUUUACCGUGAAAAAAUUAGAGUGUUCAAAGCAGGCAGAUCCAAUUUUCUGCCACCGAAUACAUUAGCAUGGGAUAAUGGAAUAGGACCCUGUCCUCCUAUUUUCAGUUGGUUUGAAGACCAGGGUAAUGAUUAAUAGGGAUAGUUGGGGGGCAUUAAUAUUUAAUUGUCAGAGGUGAAAUUCUUGGAUUUAUGAAAGAUUAACUUCUGCGAAAGCAUCUGCCAAGGAUGUUUUCAUUAAUCAAGAACGAAAGUUAGGGGAUCGAAGACGAUCAGAUACCGUCGUAGUCUUAACCAUAAACGAUGCCGACCAGCGAUUAGGAGACGUUGAAUACAAAACACCACCAUGCGCAUUGCGGCCGUCUUUGGUGUCGCUCACAAGGCGGCACCGGGGCGGCUUAGCUCGCAUGGCACCGGUGAAUGACUCCCCUAGCAGCUUGUGAGAAAUCAUAAGUCUUUGGGUUCCGGGGGGAGUAUGGUCGCAAGGCUGAAACUUAAAGGAAUUGACGGAAGGGCACCACCA